GACCUGCUUUCAAAUAUCAUCAUGUAUGCACCUUUAGUUCUUCAAAGUUGUUCUUCUAAAGUCACAGAAGCUUUUGAUUAUUUGUGCUUUCUGCCCCUUCAAACUGUGCAAGGGCUACUGAAGGCAGUGCAGCCCCUUCUCAAAGUCAGCAUAUCAGUGAGAGACUCCCUGAUACUUGUCCUUCGGAAAGCUAUGUUUGCCAGCCAGCUUGAUGCCAGGAAGUCUGCAGUUGCUGGGUUUUUGCUACUCCUGAAGAACUUCAAAGUCCUAGGCAGCUUGUCGUCCUCGCAGUGCAGUCAGUCUAUCGGGGUCAGCCAGGUGAGUGUGGCUCAUAUCAGCUGCUGU